rnacentral:rRNA from 1 species
UGAGUACGAGAGGCUACGGCCUCGAAGCAGUCUAUGUCAUACUUCCAAGAAAAGCUUGCAAUGUCAUAAACAAAUAAUGCCUGUACCAUAACCGACACAGGUGGGUAGGUAGAGUAUACUAAGGGGCGCGAGAUAACUCUCUCUAAGGAACUCGGCAAAAUGACUCCGUAACUUCGGGAGAAGGAGUGCCUUAUUUAUAAGGUUGCAAUAACAAGAUCCAAGCAACUGUUUACCAAAAACACAGGUCUCCGCUAAGUCGUAAGACGAUGUAUGGGGGCUGACGCCUGCCCAGUGCCAGAAGGUUAAAGAAGUUGGUUAGCAUUAGCGAAGCUGAUAACUGAAGCCCUGGUGAACGGCGGCCGUAACGAUAACGGUCCUAAGGUAGCGAAAUUCCUUGUCGGGUAAGUUCCGACCCGCACGAAAGGCGUAAUGAUUUGGAUACUGUCUCGGAGAGAGGCUCGGUGAAAUAGACUUGUCUGUGAAGAUGCGGACUACCUGCACCUGGACAGAAAGACCCUAUGAAGCUUUACUGUAACUUGAAAUUGAAAUUGGACUUUAUUUGCGCAGUAUAGGUGGGAGGCGUUGAGAGUAUUCUUGCGGGAAUAUUGGAGCCAUCAGUGAGAUACCACUCUUGUAAUGUUAGAUUUCUAACUUUGGAUCAUUAUCUGGUCAAAGGACAGUUUCAGGCGGGCAGUUUGACUGGGGCGGUCGCCUCCCAAACGGUAACGGAGGCGUACAAAGGUUUCCUCUGAACGGGUAGAAAUCGUAUCUAGAGUGUAAAGGCAUAAGGAAGCUUGACUGUGAGACCUACAAGUCGAGCAGGGACGAAAGUCGGUCUUAGUGAUCUGACGGUGCUGAGUGGAAAGGCCGUCACUCAACGGAUAAAAGUUACUCUAAGGAUAACAGGCUGAUCUCCCCCAAGAGUUCACAUCGACGGGGAGGUUUGGCACCUCGAUGUCGGCUCAUCGCAUCCUGGGGCGGUAGUACGUCCCAAGGGUUGGGCUGUUCGCCCAUGAAAGCGGUACGCGAGCUGGGUUCAGAACGUCGUGAGACAGUUCGGUCCAUAUCCGGUGUAGGCGUUAGAAUAUUGAGAGGAGCCUUCUUUAGUACGAGAGGACCGAGAAGGACAUACCUCUGGUGUACCAGUUAUCGUGCCAACGGUAAACGCUGGGUAGCUAUGUAUGGAGAGGAUAACCGCUGAAAGCAUCUAAGUGGGAAGCCCACCUCAAGAUAAGUAUUCUCA